GCCUCUGGGCGGCGAAGAGAUGCUCUGAGCCUGAGCUGGAAACCAGGUGCAGGGAAGGAAGGAUGCACAGCGACGCAUUUGAUUGAAGUCCUUGGGAGGCGGGGGAGGAGACGUACAGACACUGAUCGCUCACCCUUUUGCUAUAGGGUGGCAGUUGGACCCACUCAAGCCUCGGCCCACCCGGGUUUUUCUUGUUUAGCCUUAGCAAAGAGGGCUUUUCCUUCUCCUCCUCCUUCCUCCAUCCGCCUCUUCUCUCCCCAUUUCCAGCCUCCAGGCCCCCAACAGGACAUUGAACAAUCUCAGAAGAAAGUUAAAUAAGGUUGCAAAGUUUCUGCAUUGCUUCCAAGAGUCAGGAUUUGUAUCACCUG